rnacentral:rRNA from 1 species
UACGGUGGGAGCAAGCGUUGUUCGGAUUUACUGGGCGUAAAGGGCGCGUAGGCGGUUGCGCGCGUGGGGUGUGAAAUCUGGCCGCUUAACGGCCAGGCGCCAUCCCAUACGGCGCGACUGGAGUGAUGCAGAGGUCGAUGGAAUUGCCGGUGUAGUGGUGAAAUGCGUAGAGAUCGGCAGGAACACCCAGGGGGAAACCAGUCGACUGGGCAUCUACUGACGCUGAGGUGCGAGAGCGUGGGGAGCGAACCGG